rnacentral:rRNA from 1 species
AACGAACGCUGGCGGCAGGCUUAACACAUGCAAGUCGAACGCCCCGCAAGGGGAGUGGCAGACGGGUGAGUAACGCGUGGGAACAUACCCUUUUCUACGGAAUAGCUCUGGGAAACUGGAAUUAAUACCGUAUACGCCCUACGGGGGAAAGAUUUAUCGGGGAAGGAUUGGCCCGCGUUGGAUUAGCUAGUUGGUGGGGUAAAGGCCUACCAAGGCGACGAUCCAUAGCUGGUCUGAGAGGAUGAUCAGCCACAUUGGGACUGGGACACGGCCCAAACUCCUGCGGGAGGCAGCAGUGGGGAAUAAUGGACAAUGGGCGCAAGCCUGAUCCAGCCAUGCCGCGUGAGUGAUGAAGGCCUUAGGGUUGUAAAGCUCUUUCACCGAUGAAGAUAAUGCCGGUAGUCGGAGAAGAGGCCCCGGCUAACUUCGU